GGACUUCUCGUCAUGAACGAGGGGAAAAAAUAUAUUUACGUUCGUUCAAACAUGUCAAACGUUGUAUAGCAUAAAUCAUUUGUGCCUUUUUUAACCAGAACAUGAAUAAUAUUCAAGGUGGACGAAUGCAUUCUCUUUUAAAACGUUUUGGAACGAGGGUACCCAACAUGACCUCGCGCGCCAGAGUCUAAUCGGCCAUCACCGUUCAAGGCUCUUGUUCGGUCAGAUCUCAUAGUAGAAGAUUCAAAACACUUUGUAAAGGCUGGUGACAUCUAGUGAAAGCAAUAGGAAGUGCCAAAACAUUAAUCAGCCCCUGUGUGUUUCAAUGGCAUUGGCUUAAAGGUAAUUCAAC
rnacentral:lncRNA from 1 species